AGGAAAAUAGUUCAAUUGGUAGAAUAUUGGUCUCCAAAACCAUAGGUUGUGGGUUCAAGUCCCUCUUUUCCUG
rnacentral:tRNA from 1 species